rnacentral:pre_miRNA from 1 species
AUGGUGUGUGUAUAUGAUGUUCAGCACCAACGACAGGCAUUUACUUGUGUGUGGAUAGUGUUCAGCACCAAGGACAUUCAUAUUUACCU